CUUGGCUGUGGGCCUCCCUUCUUCCCAGCUCUGCAGGGUCUGUGAGACACCGGGGGAGGGCGAGUGGCAUCCUCCAUUUCCUCUUCACCGAAGCUGGUGGAAGGGUGUGUCUCCGGCCUCUGGGGCUCCCUGUGGGCAACAGUGGGAUUGGAUCAUGGCAGAGGGCCUGGGGGGCCUGCCUCCCACCGGACACUGGAAGCAGCUCCUUGGCCUCCCUCCUCCCACCCUCUCCCAAGUCCCAGCUGUGUCUGACUCAUUGGCCCCUCAUCCCACCCCUUUACCACCUGACACAGCUGACAGAUGGAUCCCCCACCCCCCAACCCUGGGGCAUGGGCAACUGGACUAACCGGUAUUUCUAGACUCAGAGUCAAUGCAGGGGUGGAUACUACCCUGGCACUGAGCUAGGAUUUCACCUCUACCCACUUUGGUGAUCCUUGUCGGACUCUGAAGUGCCGUGUAUUGACUCCACGUCGCACUCGAGGAAACUGGGGUGCAGAGGGUUGAAGCUACUGGCCCAGGAUGAAGAGCUGAGCUGGUGCUUCUCUACACGCCACCCAAGAGCCCCACGCCGGCCUUCACCACCCCCCUCCUCUGUGUUACAUGAUCCUCACCCUGCGGAGGCUGCAGGAGGAGUGUUGGCAAGUGUGGCAUCUCCGGGGAGUGGGGGCAGAAUCCAAGGCUUUCCCAGCCACUGAAGAGGGGCAUCUCCAUCUGUGCCCGUGUCCCUGUGAUGCCACCAGCUCUGUCUGCGACAGGAGCUGCCAAGGGAGGAGAAACCUUCUGUCAUCGUCCUGGGGCAAGGAACAGCCCUCCUGCCACACUCACUGCCUGGAAACCCUUCUCCUGCUUCACAGAAACAGGACCCAGUCUUGCUUGAAGCUGUCCACCCCCGCCAGGCCACAAAAAGCCUCAAAUGUCACAGGGCCACCAACUGCCACAAAGCCUCCGCUGCUCAGAGCGUGGGAGCCCCGAGAAUCAGAAGCCGCUCAGGGGUUCACUGUCAGAGUGUUUGUCCUCCGACUCGCGCACCGGCCCCGUAUGUGGUCCUGCUGCCCUCUGGCCCUUUGGAGCCCAUGUGAGCUGAGAUUUUUCUUUCUUCUUUCUCUUUCUUUCUUUCUUUCUUUCUUUCUUUCUUUCUUUCUUUCUUUCUUCUUUCUUUCUUUCUUUCUUUCUUUCUUUCUUUCUUCUUUCUUUCUAAGAUUUUAUUUAUUUAUUCAUGAUAGACACGGAGAGAGAGAGGCAGAGACACAGGUCGAGGGAGAAGCAGGCUCCACGCAGGGAGCCUGA
rnacentral:lncRNA from 1 species